UGUUAAAGGGUGAAAGGUGUUUAACAUCAUAGACAGCAGGAAGGUAUGCUCAGAAGCAGCAAUCCUUUAAAAAGUGCGUAAUAGCUUACCUGUCAAGACAUUAAGCCCUGAAAAUGGACGGGACUAAACUGAUUACCGAUAUUGCAAACCAUCCGCUUAUAGUGGAUGUGUAGUAGGCAGGCGCUUUGUUAGGGUAGAAGUUUUUUCGCAAGAAAAGAUGGACCUAGUAAAGAUGAAAAUCCUGGUGGUAGUAAGAUCUAAAUAAGGUGAGAAUCCUUAAUACCGAAAGGGCAAGGUUUCCUCAGCACUGGAAUUCAGCUGAGGGUAAGUCGAUCCUAACCAAGUCCAUAACUUGGACAAGGGGAAAGGGAAAAAGGUUAAAAUUCCUUUACUAUUUAAGUACACACGGUAACGUAAGACCAAUUCUAGACAGUUCUGGCUAAAUCAAUCUUAAUCGUCGUUAAGAUCAAUUAAGAUAAGGCAGGGAAGUACCGUAAUGGUGAGAACCUGCUUAAACUUAAGAUGUGUCGACCUUGAGUCGAUUUGGUUGAUGCCAGGAUUUCGUAAAAAUAGAAUUGGUAAGUAACUUGAAUAAUCGUACCCAGAACCAGCACAGGUGCCCAGGGUGAAUAGCCCAAGGUAUGUGGGACCAAUUUAGCUAAGGGAAUUCAGCAAAUUAGCAGCGUAGCUUCGGUUUAAGCUGUUCCUGUGUUUGUAAUCAUAUGAUUGCGAUUACAGGAUUCAAUAACAAAGGAGGUCCGACUGUUUAAUAAAAACUUAACCUUCUGCUACUCCGAAAGGACUUGUAUAGAAGGUGACGUCUGCCCAGUGCUAGUACUCAAAUCUCAGUUUCAACUGAAGUAAGAGCUAGUAAACGGCGGGGGUAACUAUAACUCUCUUAAGGUAGCGAAAUACCUUGUCGUUUAAUUGACGACUCGCAUGAAGGCGCAACGAGACUUCCACUGUCCCUAGCUAAAAUCCCCCGAACACACUUUACUGGUGCAAAGGCCAGUGACUUCCAGUGGGAAGCGAAGACCCCGUAGAACUUUACUACAACCUAUGAGUGUGAGGUAGGUUUCAUUGCUCAGUAUAGGUGGGAGUCGUUCAAACUUUUCUUUCGGGAAAAGUGUAGACUCAAGUGAGAUACCACCCAAUAAAACCUGCUUCACUAACUAGAAAUCUAGGACAUUUAUAGGCGGGUAGUUUGGCUGGGGCGGCCCCUGCUGAAAAGAUAUCAGUAGGGCCCAAAGGUCGGCUCAACAGGUUUAGAACUCCUGUGAAGAGUGCAAGAGCAAAAGCCGGCCUGACUGGAUUCUGACAAACAAAGAAUCCAGAGACGAAAGUCAGGUCUAGCGAACCUCUAAACCUCCUUGAUGGGGGUUAGAGAUGACAGAAAAGCUAUCUCGGGGAUAACAGAGUCGUCGCGCCUAAGAGCUCAAAUCGACGGCGCGGCUUGCUACAUCGAUGUCGGCUCUCCGUAUCCUGGUUGUGCAGAAGCGACCAAGGGUGGGGGUGUUCACCCAUUAAAACGGAUCGUGAGCUGGGUUUAAUACGUUGUGAGACAGUAUGUAUGAUAUCUACUGGAAGUGUUGAUGUUUGAUAGGAAGGACCAUUUAGUACGAGAGGAACAAUGGUUCGAGGCCUCUGGUGUAUCUGUUGUCCGACAGGGCAGGCAGAGCAGCUACGCCUUUAUUGGAUAAGUGCUGAAAGCAUCUAAGCACGAAGCUGACCUAGAAAAGAAACAUCUUAGAGUACCUGUAAAAGACAGGUUCGAUAGGACUGGCGUGUAAGUUUCAAGCUCCGGCGAGAAAUUUAGCGUGCGGUUACUAACAACUCAUUCUUACAA
rnacentral:rRNA from 1 species